rnacentral:rRNA from 1 species
AGAGUUGAUUAUGGCUCAGAACGAACGCUGGUAGCGUGGAUUAGGCAUGCAAGUCGAACGGGAUCGCUGGGUUAGCAAUAAUCCGGCGUGAGAGUGGCGGAUGGGGAGGAACACGUGAGCAACCUGCCUUUGAGUCGGGGAAAACCGUUGGAAACGACGGCUAAUACCGGAUGUGGCGCCCGGUGACAUCACCGGAGCGCUAAAGGGGGCCGCAAGGCUCCCGCUCGUAGAGGGGCUCGCGCACCAUCAGCUUGUUGGCGGGUAACGGCCCACCAAGGCCUACGGUUAGCUGGUCUGAGAGGAUGACCAGCCCCACUGGGACUGAGAUACUGCCCAGACUCCUACGGGAGGCUGCAGUCGAGGAUCAUUUGCAAUGGGCGAAAGCCUGACAAUGCGAACCGCUGCGUGGAGGAUGAAGGCCUUCGGGUUGUAAACUUCUUUUAUAAGGGAAUAAAGUGAGGGACGUGUCCCUUUUUGUAUGUACCUUAUGAAUAAGGAUCGGCUAACUCCGUGCCAGCCGCCGC